rnacentral:rRNA from 1 species
GAGAUUACCCCAGUAGCGGCGAGCGAACGGGGAGGAGCCCAGAGCCUGAAUCAGCAUGUGUGUUAGUGGAAGCGUCUGGAAAGGCGCGCGAUACAGGGUGACAGCCCCGUACACAAAAGCGCAUGUGCUGUGAGCUCGAUGAGUAGGGCGGGACACGUGGUAUCCUGUCUGAAUAUGGGGGGACCAUCCUCCAAGGCUAAAUACUCCUGACUGACCGAUAGUGAACCAGUACCGUGAGGGAAAGGCGAAAAGAAC